rnacentral:rRNA from 1 species
AUUGAACGCUGGCGGCAGGCCUAACACAUGCCAGUCGAACGGUAACAGGAAGACGCUUGCUUCUUUGCUGACGAGUGGCGGACGGGUGAGUAAUGUCUGGGAAACUGCCUGAUGGAGGGGGAUAACUACUGGAAACGGUAGCUAAUACCGCAUAACGUCGCAAGACCAAAGAGGGGGACCUUCGGGCCUCUUGCCAUCGGAUGUGCCCAGAUGGGAUUAGCUAGUAGGUGGGGUAACGGCUCACCUAGGCGACGAUCCCUAGCUGGUCUGAGAGGAUGACCAGCCACACUGGAACUGAGACACGGUCCAGACUCCUACGGGAGGCAGCAGUGGGGAAUAUUGCACAAUGGGCGCAAGCCUGAUGCAGCCAUGCCGCGUGUAUGAAGAAGGCCUUCGGGUUGUAAAGUACUUUCAGCGGGGAGGAAGGGAGUAAAGUUAAUACCUUUACUCAUUGACGUUACCCGCAGAAGAAGCACCGGCUAACUCCGUG